rnacentral:rRNA from 1 species
GACGAACGCUGGCGGCGUGCCUAAUACAUGCAAGUAGAACGCACAGUUUAUACCGUAGCUUGCUACACCAUAGACUGUGAGUUGCGAACGGGUGAGUAACGCGUAGGUAACCUGCCUGGUAGCGGGGGAUAACUAUUGGAAACGAUAGCUAAUAUCGCAUAAUAUUAAUUAUUGCAUGAUAAUUAAUUGAAAGGUGCAAUUGCACCACUACCAGAUGGACCUGCGUUGUAUUAGCUAGUAGGUGAGGUAACGGCUCACCUAAGCGACGAUACAUAGCCGACCAUGGAGGGGGAUCGGCCAACCUGGGACUGGGACAAGGCCCAGGCUCCUACGGGAGGCAGCAGUAGGGAAUCUUCGGCAAUGGACGAAAGUCUGACCGAGCAACGCCGCGUGAGUGAAGAAGGUUUUCGGAUCGUAAAGCUCUGUUGUAAGAGAAGAACGGGUGUGGGAGUGGAAAGUUCACACUGUGACGGUAUCUUACCAGAAAGGGACGGCUAACUACGUG